AAACGUCAAGAAAUGAAAACAAACGCUGACAGAACUUCAACCAGUGCACAUCUGUCAUUCGCAAAGUUUUUGAAUUAAAAGCGUGAAAAUGGAACGUAAUCCAGAUAAAACGAGGAGAGAGUAUUCCGUCUUGCCUGGCAUCCGGAGCUGCCGUCUGUGGAAAACCAAGCCGAUGAUGCUGAGCCAUCGUACAUUGAGCCCGUGCCGAACUAUUUAACAGACUAUGCUACUUCGCUUUGCGACAGCGAGGACAGCAUGGUCGACACAAGCAAUGUUGCAGAAAGUGACGUCGAAGACAUCCAGUUCGAGGUGGAAACGCCGAACCAACCGUACCCUUUCCUGGAAACCGGACCCUUCGUGCGAGGAAAGUUUGCGGCUGUGGACCCUGUAACCUGGGCAAAUUUAUCGUAGUUUGAACCUGUUGCUGGGCCAUUUGUGGCAGCAUUUUCCUAACGCCAUAUUGCCUAAGGAUGCUCGAACGUUAAUGAACACGCCCGCGUCCAGAGCACCGGAAGACAGCCAUUACACCUAUCGCAGGGGGGGAGCUGUGGUACCAGGGUGUGGGAAAAUGCCUUCUGUCAUACUUUCGUGAUGUUCAGCCAACCCAGGAGGGGUUUGAGUUGAUUUUUUUGUGGACGGCCUGCCGCUGUACAAAAGCAGCCGGGCCCAUUUCUGGCCCAUACUGAUGCAGGUUCACAACGUGCCAAAUACUCCGGUGAUGACGGUUGCUAUUUUUUGUGGCGAAUCGAAACCUUAAAUCCUCGAGGAGUUUUUGGAUUAGUUUUUGAACGAAAUGAACCAGCUUUUUAUGAACGGCCUGGUAAUUGGAUCCCGCUUUUACUGGGUAGCCCCGCGUGCUAUCAUGGCAGAUGCUCCAGCACGUGCAUUCAUAAAAGGUGUUAAAGGGCAUAAUGCAUACAGCGGGUGCCAGAAAUGCACGAUCGUAGGGGUGUUGGACGGGCACCGGAUGUAUUUUACGUAUGAUGCGGAACGCCAGCCACGAAACCACAAUGACUUUUGCAAUGACAAAAAUCCGACAUACGUCAACAAACGCACCCCCCUUACCAGUCUAUUAGGUUGCGAUAUCGUGGCUGAUUUUGUGUCGGCCUAAGAUAUGCACCUACUGUACAAGGGCGUGGAGGCCAAAAUGAUAGAUUUGUGGAUAAAAGGCUUCCCUGGCGUUCCGUGUUACUUGCCACGCCGACAACAACGUCAAGUGUCGGCGCACUUGCGCCUGUUAAAGCUCCUUUCCGAUUAUCAAUGCAAGCUGCGCGACCUGCGAUACGUCUAACUCUCGAAUGCUUCCGAGUAUAGGAUGUUUCUUCUGGUUGCCGAUUUCGUGGUUCUGGAGGGUAGACUUCACUAUGCAGCGUACCAACACUUCAUGUUGAUGACGAUGGCUGUAACAUUUAUGACCACCACCUAACACCGCGCAAAAUGGGCACUGGCUGACUCAUAUUUGCAAAGAUUUGUGGCAGCCUAUGGCGUUUUGUACAAAGUUGGUACAUUCCGGGAGGCACAGCCUGGUCCAAACGGUCCAUCGUUUGCUGGAACUGCAACAUAUAAAUAUUGCCAAGCGCCAGCAAAACAGACGAAAGAUGGACGAGCCAUCGGUGCGCCCGGUUGGUGUCGAGACCAUAGCGACCGUACGGGAGGGCUUCGCGCUGCGGCAAAAUUUCCACGACCAGUGGUGUAUGUCCAACUCGGGCGAGUUGGUCCUGUACG